rnacentral:rRNA from 1 species
GAUCCUGGCUCAGGAUGAACGCUGGCGGCGUGCUUAACACAUGCAAGUCGAACGGGAAAUAUUUCAUUGAGACUUCGGUGGAUUUGAUUUAUUUCUAGUGGCGGACGGGUGAGUAACGCGUGGGUAACCUGCCUUAUACAGGGGGAUAACAGUCAGAAAUGGCUGCUAAUACCGCAUAAGCGCACAGAGCUGCACGACUCAGUGUGAAAAACUCCGGUGGUAUAAGAUGGACCCGCGUUGG